rnacentral:rRNA from 1 species
UGCCAGCAUCCGCGGUAAGACGAAUUUGGCACCCGUUGUUCGGAAUCACUGGGCAUAAAGAGCACGUAGGCGGGAAUGUAAGUCGGGUGUGAAAUCCCUCGGCCCAACCGAGGAACUGCGCCCGAUACUGCAUACCUUGAGGGCAGGAGGGGAGCGUGGAAUUCCUGGUGGAGCGGUGAAAUGCGUUGAUAUCAGGAGGAACACCGGCGGCGAAGGCGACGCUCUGGCCUGCUUCUGACGCUGAGGUGCGAAAGCCAGGGGAGCAAACGGGAUUAGAUA